UACGUAGGGGGCAAGCGUUGUCCGGAAUCAUUGGGCGUAAAGAGCGUGUAGGCGGCUCGAUAAGUCUGCUGUGAAAGUCCAGGGCUCAACCCUGGAAGGCCGGUGGGAACUGUCGGGCUAGAGUCCGGAAGAGGCGAGUGGAAUUCCCGGUGUAGCGGUGAAAUGCGCAGAUAUCGGGAGGAACACCAAUGGCGAAGGCAGCUCUCUGGGACGGUACUGACGCUGAGACGCGAAAGCGUGGGGAGCGAACAGG
rnacentral:rRNA from 1 species